AAAGGUCACAAUUGUAAGUAUAUUUUUAUACCAUUAGGAGUUCUAUCCUCCAUUUAUCGCUUAAUUAGUUUAACUUUCAAAUCGUUUUGUCACUUUGAAAGUGACAACCAUUGUAUUCCUGUCAAUUCGAAGAAAAAAACAGCUAAAAAACGAAAACCCAUGGGGUAGAUUACACAAGUGGGUUGGUAUCUCAUAAAAAAAAUAAUAAAAACAUAGUUGUUAUUUCCAUUUCGUAAAUUUGUAGGGUUUGAUUCCGAUGAAGAAUGUGAUCGCAAUCUUAGUGGUCCUGCUCUAAAACUGAAGGCAAAAAGUCAAAAAAUUCUGCAGUUACAACAAAAUAUGGAUGGACAGUUACAGAAGUCAAUGCUUUAGAGAAAGAUUUCGCUUUAUUUUUUUCAUCAGGGUCUCAUAAUUGGUGUUGGCCAAAAUGCAUUUUCGGGCUCCAGAACUACUUAACUUGCAACAUGAUGCGAACUAUAUGGAUAUAUAUAUAUAAAAAUCACUCCUUCGUACCAUCUGACCUCCGUGCUGAUGGCAACAUUGUCGGAGGUCACAAAGACGACAUAGUAUACGGAAUAUACGUAGAUUACGGAGGUGACAUAGUUCUAUCUGUGCUCUCUAUAUAUAAGAAUUUUAAAAAUCUUUUCCCCUCUCAAGGAAUCCGGAAUAGUACUGAUUUCAAGACCUCAUAUAUUUAAAAAAAAUUAGAUUAAAAAAAAAGUAGAUUUAAAAUUUUAGAUUAGUUAAAAAAAAUAGAUUUAAAAAAAUUAUAAAAUUCGCCAAGAACAAGUUGAUCUAUUGGUCUGUCACAUACAGAGAGAAAAAUUAUAAUAAGCUAAAUAUAAUCGUUGAGUAUUGCUUGUAUUGCUUGAAUAUGCUUCAGUCAUCAUUCCCGGCAUCAUGGCUGGGGGUGUUUUUGCAGGUUACUUUAUUUUAGGAAUUUUACCUUCCUGG